rnacentral:sRNA from 1 species
UGAAAUAAAUAACUAUUGGUUAAAAUCAGUGGUUGUUUAGUCUGGCUGACAGUUGUAAAAAAUAAAACUGUCAGCCAACGUCA